AAAUCAACCUCCAUCCAAUCUCUCCAAACAAUCCUUGUUUAGUAUAUCCCGUAUACUAUCCACCACCAUGUCUCCCUGCGCCUGCAACUGCUGUUCCGGCAACUGCAACUCUUGCUCUUGCAACUCUUGCAAGGUAUAUACAUCCAACCAUCCA
rfam:Aspergillus carbonarius ITEM 5010 unplaced genomic scaffold ASPCAscaffold_11, whole genome shotgun sequence.